GAUGAACGCUGGCGGCGUGCCUAAUACAUGCAAGUCGAGCGAAUGGAUUAAGAGCUUGCUCUUAUGAAGUUAGCGGCGGACGGGUGAGUAACACGUGGGUAACCUGCCCAUAAGACUGGGAUAACUCCGGGAAACCGGGGCUAAUACCGGAUAACAUUUUGAACCGCAUGGUUCGAAAUUGAAAGGCGGCUUCGGCUGUCACUUAUGGAUGGCCCCGCGUCGCAUUAGCUAGUUGGUGUGGUAACGGCUCACCAAGGCAACGAUGCGUAGCCGACCUGAGAGGGUGAUCGGCCACACUGGGACUGAGACACGGCCCAGACUCCUACGGGAGGCAGCAGUAGGGAAUCUUCCGCAAUGGACGAAAGUCUGACGGAGCAACGCCGCGUGAGUGAUGAAGGCUUUCGGGUCGCAAAACUCUGUUGUUAGGGAAGAACAAGUGCUAGUUGAAUAAGCUGGCACCUUGACGGUACCUAGCCAGAAAGCCACGGCUAACUACGUGCCAGCAGCCGCAGUAA
rnacentral:rRNA from 1 species